CAGUAGCCGCGGGAACACGGAGGGGGCUAGCGUUGUUCGGAAUUACUGGGCGUAAAGCGUGCGCAGGCGGUGAUGUAAGACAGUUGUGAAAUCCCCGGGCUCAACCUGGGAACUGCAUCCAAAACUGGCGAGCUAGAGUAUGGUAGAGGGUGGUGGAAUUUCCUGUGUAGCGGUGAAAUGCGUAGAUAUAGGAAGGAACAUCAGUGGCGAAGGCGACCACCUGGACUGAUACUGACACUGAGGUGCGAAAGCGUGGGGAGCAAACAGGAUUAGAUACCCGGGUAGUCCCUGUCUCUUAUAC
rnacentral:rRNA from 1 species